GGACCCACACAAGUAGUGGAGCAUGUGGUUUAAUUCGAAGAUACGCGCAGAACCUUACCAACACUUGACAUGUUCGUCGCGACUUUAAGAGAUUAGUAGUUUUCGGUUCGGCCGGAACGAAACACAGGUGCUGCAUGGCUGUCGUCAGCUCGUGUCGUGAGAUGUUGGGUUAAGUCCCGCAACGAGCGCAACCCUCACUUUUAGUUGCCAUCAUUAAGUUGGGCACUCUGAAAGAACUGCCAGUGAUAAGCUGGAGGAAGGUGGGGAUGACGUCAAGUCCUCAUGGCCCCUUACGUGUUGGGCUACACACGUGCUACAAAUGGGUAUCUACAACAGGAAAGCAAAGACUGCGAAGUC
rnacentral:rRNA from 1 species